rnacentral:rRNA from 1 species
AGUGAACGCUGGCGGUAGGCCUAACACAUGCAAGUCGAACGGCAGCACAGUAAGAGCUUGCUCUUACGGGUGGCGAGUGGCGGACGGGUGAGGAAUACAUCGGAAUCUACUUUUUCGUGGGGGAUAACGUAGGGAAACUUACGCUAAUACCGCAUACGACCUACGGGUGAAAGCAGGGGAUCUUCGGACCUUGCGCGAUUGAAUGAGCCGAUGUCGGAUUAGCUAGUUGGCGGGGUAAAGGCCCACCAAGGCGACGAUCCGUAGCUGGUCUGAGAGGAUGAUCAGCCACACUGGAACUGAGACACGGUCCAGACGCCUACGGGAGGCAGCAGUGGGGAAUAUUGGACAAUGGGCGCAAGCCUGAUCCAGCCAUACCGCGUGGGUGAAGAAGGCCUUCGGGUUGUAAAGCCCUUUUGUUUGGAAAGAAAAGCAGCAGGUUAAUACCCCGCUGUUCUGACGGUACCCAAAGAAUAAGCACCGGCUAACUUCGUG